CCUACGGGUGGCAGCAGUGGGGAAUAUUGGGCAAUGGGCGCACGCCUGACCCAGCAACGCCGCGUGAAGGAAGAAGGCUUUCGGGUUGUCAACUUCUUUUCUCAGGGACGAAGCAAGUGACGGUACCUGAGGACUAAGCCACGGCUAACUACGUGCCAGCAGCCGCGUUAAUACGUAGGUGGGACGCUUUAUCCGGAUUUACUGGGGGUAAAGGGCGUGUAGGCGGGACUGCAAGUCAGAUGGGAAAACCACGGGCUAAACCUGUGGCCUGCAUUUGAAACUGUAGUUCUUGAGUACUGGAGAGGCAGACGGAAUUCCUAGUGUAGCGGGGAAAUGCGUAGAUAUUAGGAGGAACACCAGUGGCGAAGGCGGGCUGCUGGACAGCAACUGACGCUGAUGCGCGAAAGCGUGGGGAGCAAACAGGAUUAGAUACCCUUGUAGUC
rnacentral:rRNA from 1 species